rnacentral:lncRNA from 1 species
UGGCCACGAAGUCUGCCGUUACCUGGUUCACAAUGAGCUGGGAGUCGCUGUGAAUUCUGAUUUGUUUUGCAUUCAUGCUCUUGGCUAACCGAAGGCCGGCCAAGAGAGCCUCAUAUUCCGCUUCGUUGUUGGAGGUUCGGAAGUCGAAUCGGAGGGCGUACUCGAUCUUGAGUCCCUCCGGUGUUGUCAGUACCAAACCUGCUCCGCACCCUUAUUGGUUUACCGAGCCAUCGACGUGCAGAAUCCAUACUGGAGUUGAGACGUCAAAGCGUUCGGUGCCUAGUGCCUCCGGCAAUUCGGUCUCG